GGUUGCGACAGCCAGGCCGCUGCAAUGCAGAGGGAGGAGAAGCAGCUUGAGGCAUCAUUAGAUGCACUGCUGAAUCAAGUGGCUGAUCUGAAGAAUUCACUGGGAAGUUUCAUUUACAAGUUGGAAAACGAGUAUGACCGGCUGACUUGGCCCUCUGUCCUAGACAGCUUUGCAUUGCUCUCUGGACAGUUGAACACACUGAACAAGGUGUUGAAGCAUGAGAAGACACUACUGUUCCGUAACCAGGUCAUCAUCCCUUUGGUGUUGUCCCCAGACCGAGAUGAAGACCUCAUGUGGCAGACUGAAGGACGAGUGCCUGUUUUCAGUCAUGAGGUCGUCCCUGACCAUCUGAGAACCAAGCCUGACCCUGAAGUUGAAGAGCAGGAGAAGCAGCUGACAACAGAUGCUGCCCGCAUUGGUGCUGAUGCAGCUCAGAAGCAGAUCCAGAGCUUGAAUAAAAUGUGCUCAAACCUCUUGGAGAAAAUCAACAAAGAAGAACGAGAAUCAGAGAGUGGAGGUCUCCAGCCAAACAAGCAGACCUUCAACCCUGCAGACACUAAUGCCUUAGUGGCCGCUGUUGCCUUUGGGAAGGGGCUGUCUAAUUGGAGGCCUUCGGGUAGCAGUGGUCCUGGCCAACCUGGCCAACCAGGGGCUGGUACGAUCCUUGCAGGAGCCUCAGGACUACAGCAAGUUCAGAUGGCAGGUGCUCCAAGCCAGCAGCAGCCAAUGCUCAGUGGGGUACAGAUGCCUCAAGCAGGUCAGCCAGGGAAAAUGCCAAGUGGAAUAAAAACCAACAUCAAGUCAGCUUCAAUGCAUCCAUACCAGCGGUGAGUGUGGACACCAGCCUCCACUCCCAGGUGAUCUGUGCAGAGUUGGGCAAUGAAAUUACCUUUUGCUCAAGUCUUAUGUAGAUGGGUACAUUAAAAAAAAAAAGAACAGUCUUUCAGCAACAGAAAAUCCCAGCUCCACUGGUGAAUAGCUGCGUGACUUUGGGCAAGUGACCUAUUUUUUCUGAGCCUGUUCUCAUUUGUAAGUGGUGAUAAUACUUGCCUCAUAGGGUUGUUGUGAGGAUUAAAAUGAGAAAAUGAAUGUAAAACACUUAUCACAGUAUGUGAAAUAAUGGGUCUUCAAUAAAUGAU